UUGUGAAGCAGAAUUCAC
rnacentral:ncRNA from 2 species